AAUUGUCACAUAUUAUUUAUAAUGUUAAGUUACACAAGAGACAUUAUCAUACAAAUGAUACAUAGCUGAUGAAAUAUGGCCUGUAAAUAAUACUUUAAGAGACUAGACCUAACUUGGGGAUUGCUCAAAUGGAAAAAUAAUCACACAAAUAAAAUAAAAUAGAUUCCUUCUUAUUUUGAUUUUAGAUAACAGGGAACAUACAUAUGUAAGGGUAUUUUGAUUAAUCUGAUGAAAUUACAAUAAAUAUUGGCCCAUUGAAUAUACAUAAUUUUAGAGGAUGAUACUGGAUUUUUCUGGUACAAAGAAGUUUAAACAAUUCAAGUCACAUUUUAUACUGAAUGCAUUAUUUUGUAAUUCUUAAAAAAACUGCCCUUAAAAUGAGCUUUCCGUUCGUGCACUUUUAUGAAACUAAUAUUUUAAGGUAUAUUCCAUGGUAAUAAUUUUUCAACACAGAAUCUUAAAUACAUAAAUGAAGAAAGUGGUUCUGUUGCAAUGUCAUGUGAAACUUCUGUAGGCAAAUAAUAAUAAUAAUAAUAAUAAUAAUAUAUCAAGCUUGAAAAAAGAAUAGGAGCUAGAGUCAGCUUUCAAACUGGCUUUCUGAUUCAUGACUUUUUAUAAUUAGAAACAAGGAAAACAAUAUAUAAUGCUUUAACUUUGUUUUCAUUCUAGAAAAUUAGGGCCAGCUCUUGGCAACAUCUAAAUAUAGUUACCUAUCUAAGUUUGAAAUGUUUAGGAGCAUUUCAAACUAGUAUAUUAUAAGUGUCUCCACCUAGAGUGUUCUUUUUACUAUUUUUCUUAUAAAAGGCACCCUCUCACUAAAUAGGGUCUAAAGCAGUUUAAGGAACCUCACACUGUGGUGAUAAUGAUAACAUGACAGACAACGCCCUUGUCAAGUGUAGGUGCCAAGACACAUUUUUGCCUAACACUUUCCAAUAUUUCAGACUGUUUUCCAUAACAUUUAUCUAACAACAGGCAUUUUUGAGAGGCCAAAGAAAAUGAAUAAUGUGAAAACAUUCCUAGAUAGGUCCUGUGAAAGUAACCUAUCAUAACAGAUAAAAGGAGAAGCCUUUAUUGAAAUAAUUUUAUAUUACCAGGAAUAAACACUAUGCAAAAAUGUGUCACAUUUUUACAUGAGUUGAAUUAGGGCACUUACCAAUGUAAGAUGACUCUCUUUUCUGCCCAAAGCUCUUUUCCUAAAUAUGUACUUUGGAGACCUUUAUGUUGAUGUCUAGGUGAGGAUGGCAUUCGGAUGAAGGAAGUAGUUUGAGGUCCAACGUUAAAGAGAACACACCUGCAGUUUGCUUUAAGCGUUUCCACUUAACAAAAACAAAGUGAGAAAAUUAGAUACAUGGUUUUCCUAUCUAUAAAUUGUUAACUGUAAAGAUUUUUAACUAGAAGGAGUCCCUCCUGACCUGUAGUUUCCCAACUAUGUUCCAUAGAAAAGGAAGGUCCUCCUGGGGACACUGUAGGAUUAAGGGACAGAGAAGCCUCAGCUUUGAGUCUCCUUCCCUCCUCUGACUAAGCAGCUCUAUGCCUGUCUCUGUUUCAUAUAAUACAGUUUCAUGCAAAUAUAUAUAUUUUUUUUAAGAAAAAGAAACGUUCUUUUCUUUGAAAAAAAAUUAAGGUAGGAAAGUCAUUGAUUUACUCAGUCCCUAGUUUGACAAGAAGUAAGGAAGGCUCAGAGAGGCUGCAGCUUGCCUAGGGUCACAAAGCCCAAAGGCCCUCUUACUCAAUCUAGAGUUGAAUGCCAGCUACUUCCUCAGAUUAGGGAAAAACACAUAGAUUUUAAACUACAAUUUAGAGAAAAUAAAUACGUAUGACUGUCAUGUAGCUCAAUGAUGUUUGUGGCACGAGACAUGCAUUAGUAGCUUUCUGACGAUUUAGUUACGUUUUAAAGGCAUGAACAAGAAUAAAUUAUUACUGUAACUCCUAUUAUAUGCAAUCAAUGUAAUCAAUUUAAAAAAGCCCACUUUUUUUUUUUUUUUUUUCAAACCACAGGACAGGGAACUUGAGAAAAUCUUUAAUGGAAACAAGCUGGCCGAAACUGAGAUUCUUACUUAAAACAAUAUUCAUUUCCUCCAAGUAAAAUUUGUUUUACCAAAGUGACUCAACAAAAGAAUUCUCCCCCUUGGGAGUUAUAUAUGGCAAAAUUUAGAACACAAAACAGAUUUCUUUUGACCACCUAGCAUCCAUCUCUCCACUCUCUCAUCAUUACCUGCUGUGUACAAAAGACAGAAGCUUAAUCCCAAUUGCAGUUUAAAUCCAGACAGAAAUUAUAGGUGAGCUUCAUUUCCUUGGCCUACAGUUACCAAGUGACAACACACCCCCCCUCUACCCUCCUCGAGAGAGGAGAGGAGAUUUACCGAAUGGGCGAAUCUGGAAGAAGGAACUAAGGAGUGCUUGCUUUGUUCCAAGUCUCUUUGAAAAGAUGUGUCUGCCCAGAGCACCUUGAACUUGGGUCUCACACCUGCAGUAAGCAGCCUGCCCCUGGGACAAGCCUCCUCCCCUUAGGCCUGCGAGGGGUAGGGCCCAGUUGGGGAUGAAUAUCCGGAGCCCACUGUGGCCGCACGUCUGGACUGCAUCCUCCAAUUCAUCAGUAUGUGCCAGCGAGGAAGCUACUUAGCUGGUCUCCACCUGCCUGCCUCCUUCCCACCUCUGUCCUCCCAAGGAGAAGAGCAGUGUCAUUUGCCACCUAGCCCACCAGGCUCCACCAAGGACAAUGAGCAGACAACACUCAAAUGUUUUCUUCUUCUCUGUCUGUAUAAUUCGUGCACUCUGUUCAAAACAACCCAUACUUCUUUUUCUUUUCACAUCCACAACUGGGACAUAUGGAAGUUUCUGGGCUAGGGGUCAAAUCAGAGCCGCAGCUGAGACCUAUGCCACAGCUUCUGGGAUCCAUAGAAUGCCCAACCCUAUUUUAAAGCAGGGAGAAAUUGAGAGAAAUGUUUUAGAGAAAUAGAGUGAAGCCAUCCCAAUACAAAGAACAACAAAUACAAAUAUAUGAUCAUUUGUGCAACCAUAAUGUAUUACCAUUAAGUGGUAUUUGAGAUCACAGGCUGGAAAAUAACGGUGCAUUCCCUUUUGGAGACCAGUUUGAUAAAGACACACACACCACACACACGCACAUACACACGCACUUCCAAAGUUCAUAUACUUUCAGUAAUUAUUGAUGCUUUUAAGUUGAAAUCUGGUAUCAUUCUUAUUUUGAGUGUUACAAAAGUAAAUGCACCCAGGAAAAUGUAAUAAAAUCAAGCCCUUUAAACCACUUCAUUAUCCAACUGUAAAAAGGUUAAUGUGUGAAGGAAAUUACACUUGACAGUUUGUUAGCAGAAAUACAUGUGUUUUGCUACAGAGGAAAGUACUGAGGAAGAUUUUGUUGAUCAAGGCACUGAAAAAUGAAGCACAGAGGGAAAAACUGAAUGAAAAAGAAUGAGAAGAAGCUAAGGAAUUACCCUUAUCUUUCAAAAAUAAAAUGCCUGCUCACCAGUCCAUGUGGACAAAUUGAAGUGGGGACAUGAGGGAUCAUACGAAGCACAGAGGUGAACUCUGCCUCUGCCUUCUGAGAAACUAGCUUAACUGCUGUGAUCCUUUGAUCAGAGUUAAAACUCAGAGUGGAAGGCGCUGCCUUGGUGAUGCCAACCACAGGCUUAUUUUUUUUAAAAGAAAUGUAACUCAAUAUUCUGUUGCGACGUGACAUUCAUGUUAAAAGUUUUUAAGUCAUAAAGAGACAAAUACUGUAUGCUAUCACUUACGUCUGGAAUCAAAUAUAUAUGGCAGAAAUGAAUCUAUCUACAGAAAAGAAACAAACUCAUGGACAUGGAGAGCAGCCUUGUGGUGGCCAAGGGGAAGGGGAGGGAGUGGGUGGAUGGGGAGUGUGGGGUUAGUAGAAGCAAACUAUUGCAUUUGGGUGGAUAAGCAAUGAGGUCCUGCUCUACUUAAUUUUUCAGCUCCUUGAUCAAAAUCCACCCCUUUCUAUCAUUUUAGACAGUAUGUUAACAUGUUGCCUAGCAGAAAUAAUUACAUCCUAGAAGGCACCUUCUUUCUGUAAGUGUGACUAAGAAUUUUGUAAACCAUACCUGUAUAAGAACUCUUUUAAGGCAUCCUGUCUGUAGUGAUUAUGGAGACAUGUCUUUGCAUCUUGAUGGAAUAUUUUUUAAAAUCUCAUUAAAUCCAGCAUGAUUUGACAAAGCAAGACCCCACAAGGGAGCUAUGUAAAUCUUGGAAUGACACCAUUGUGUUUAAAACAAACUGGUUUUCAAUUUACAUAGAAAUACUAAAAAAUAAAUACCUCUUUCCUCCAAAAAAAAUUUAAGGAACUUUUUUCUCAGCAAUUUUCUCUUGCAUGGCUUUUGCCUUCUGCAUUUACACCCUCUUUCAUCGUCAUCUGAUAAAAUGAUGCAUGUUCUGAUUUUUGGGGUGACAACUAACAGGAACAUUUUAAGUUUGCAUCAUGCUUAGCAACUGACAGAAGUGCCUGACAUGCAUUUUCUUUUUGGAUCCUAGAGUCCAGGUUCAAGACUCUGAAGUACCUAGACCUAGUUUAGCUGCAGUGCUAAGAAACCUUAGCCUUGCUCCUCUGUGAUUUAUUAUGACAUGAAGCCCGUGAGAAAACAGGUUGAAACGUCAUUUUAAAAGGGCCUGUGCUACUUUUCUCUGCCUCAAGAAGCUCCAGAAAACACCCUCCAAACCAUCAACCCAUGUGCACUGAUUAAAGUGGAUACUUUAGUAGCAAUGAAACAAUGCAAAUAGUUGCAAUUUAAAGUCUCCCCAUCUUUGCCACCUUAGUCCCCAUUCAUCCAAGUCUUGGCAAGAUAGAGACAUAAGUGAACUUCAUUUAAAAAGGUUAAAUAUUUCCUGGAGUUCCCUUUGUGGCUCAGCAGUUAAGGAAACUGACUAGGAUCCAUGAGGAUGCCGGUUUGAUCCCUGGCCUUACUCAGUGGGUAAACGAUCUGGCAUUGUUGUGAGCUGUGGUGUAGGUCACAGACGUGGCUGGGUUCUGGUGUUGCUGUAGCUGUGGUGUAGGCUGACAGCUGGAGCUCUGAUUCAACCCCUAGCUUGGGAACUUCCAUAUUGCCAUGAGUGCAACCUUUAUUUCCUUUACUUAACUACAUAUUUAGGAAUGUUCUACAACUGGUCAGUAAGACAUUUUAAAAAAACAAAUAAAAAUGCUGGAAGUAAAAUAGCAACUAAGGAGGUACUCUCAUGUAAGAACAUGACAAAAGUUUUUUUUUUUUUUUUUGUUUUAGUGCUGCACCCGUGGCAUAUGGAGGUUCCCAGGCUAGGGUCAAAUCAGAGCUGUAGCCGCUGGCCUGCACCACAGCUCAUGGCAAUGCCAGAUCCUUAACCACUGAGCGAGCCCUGGGAUCAAACCUGCAUCUUCAUGGAUACUAGUUGGGUUCGUUAACUGCUGAGCCACCAUGGGAACUCCCAUGACAAAAGUUUUAAAACACAGAAAUGAUGGAGUUCCUGCUUUGGUGCAAUGGGAAGGGUGGCAUCUCGGUGACACCAGAACACAGGUUCAAUCCCCAGACCCCACAGUAGGUUAAAGGAUCCACAUUGCCGGAGCUAUGGCAUAGGUCCCAACUGUGGCUCAGAUCUGAUUCCCAGUCCAGAAACUUCAUAUGCUGCAAGUAGGCNAAAAAAAAAAAAAAAAAAAAGAAAAA
rnacentral:lncRNA from 1 species